rnacentral:rRNA from 1 species
ACUCAAAGGAAUUGACGGGGGCCCGCACAAGCGGCGGAGCAUGUGGCUUAAUUCGAUGCAACGCGAAGAACCUUACCUGGGCUUGAAAUGCAGGGAAAUCUGGCAGAAACGCCAGGUCCGCAAGGGCCCUGCACAGGUGGUGCAUGGCUGUCGUCAGCUCGUGUCGUGAGAUGUUGGGUUAAGUCCCGCAACGAGCGCAACCCUCGUCCUGUGUUGCCAGCACGUAAUGGUGGGGACUCACGGGAGACUGCCGGGGUCAACUCGGAGGAAGGUGGGGAUGAGGUCAAGUCAUCAUGCCCCUUAUGUCCAGGGCUGCACACAUGCUACAAUGGCCGGUACAAAGGGCUGCGAAGCCGCAAGGUGGAGCGAAUCCCAAAAAGCCGGUCUCAGUUCGGAUCGGGGUCUGCAACUCGACCCCGUGAAGUCGGAGUCGCUAGUAAUCGCAGAUCAGCAACGCUGCGGUGAAUACGUUCCCGGGCCUUGUACACACCGCCCGU